rfam:Dipodomys ordii contig_80491, whole genome shotgun sequence.
GGGAAGGUGGCUCAGUGGUAGAGUGCUUGCCUUGCAUGCAUGAGACCGUGGGUUCGAUUCCUGAGCACCUCA